rnacentral:misc_RNA from 1 species
UUUCCGUAGGUGAACCUGCGGAAGGAUCAUUACAGUAGUCGCCUGGGUUGCCGCAAGGCCUCCCGGGUAACCUACCACCCUUUGUUUAUUACACUUUGUUGCUUUGGCAGGCCUGCCCUCGGGCUGCUGGCUCCGGCCGGCGAGCGCUUGCCAGAGGACCUAAACUCUGUUUGUCUAUACUGUCUAAGUACUAUAUAAUAGUUAAAACUUUCAACAACGGAUCUCUUGGUUCUG